UAUCGGUUCGUCAUAUUCCAAUACUUCGGCUUAUGAGCUACAAAAGCAGGAGCUCCACCUUUAUGUUUUAUCCUCACAGUCAGCCAUAUUUCGACAUUUGACUACGGCAUGGCAUAGUUAUUUAGUGAGGGCGACACUUGCUCAAGAGAAAAAUGUAGCCAGACCUUGUAAGAACGGCAUCGGCACCAAUUCCGGCCACGUCUUUGUCGAAUUAUAUCGUCGACUUCAAUUUCCAAACGAAGAAGAAUAUGUGGACUUGCGACGUCUGGUGG